ACCUUCGGGGGUAGAGCACUGUCAUGGUUGGGGGGUCUAUUGCAGAUUACCCCGCCAUAGCAAACUCCGAAUACCGAAGAGUGCAAUCACGGGAGACAGACAUCGGGUGCUAACGUCCGGUGUCAAGAGGGAAACAACCCAGACCGCCAGCUAAGGUCCCCAAAUAUGGCUAAGUGGGAAACGAAGUGGGAAGGCUAAAACAGUCAGGAGGUUGGCUUAGAAGCAGCCACCCUUUAAAGAAAGCGUAAUAGCUCACUGAUCGAGUCGUCCUGCGCGGAAGAUGUAACGGGGCUAAGCCAUAUACCGAAGCUGCGGAUGCGAGCUAGUCUCGCAUGGUAGGAGAGCGUUCCGUAAGCCUGCGAAGGUGCGUUGAAAAGCGUGCUGGAGGUAUCGGAAGUGCGAAUGCUGACAUGAGUAGCGAUAAAGGGGGUGAAAGGCCCCCUCGCCGUAAGCCCAAGGUUUCCUACGCAACGUUCAUCGGCGUAGGGUGAGUCGGCCCCUAAGGCGAGGCAGAAAUGCGUAGCUGAUGGGAAGCAGGUCAAUAUUCCUGCACCGUCGUUAGAUGCGAUGGGGGGACGGAUCGCGGAAGGUUGUCCGGGUGUUGGAAGUCCCGGUCGCUGCAUUGGAGAAGGCGCUUAGGCAAAUCCGGGCGCAGGAUUCAAGGGUGUGGCGCGAGCUCCUUCGGGAGCGAAGCAAUUGGAAGUGGUUCCAAGAAAAGCCUCUAAGCUUCAGUCUAACGAUGACCGUACCGCAAACCGACACAGGUGGGCGAGAUGAGUAUUCUAAGGCGCUUGAGAGAACUCGGGAGAAGGAACUCGGCAAAUUGGUACCGUAACUUCGGGAUAAGGUACGCCCUGGUAGCUUGACUGGCCUGCGCCAGAAGGGUGAAGGGGUUGCAAUAAACUGGUGGCUGCGACUGUUUAAUAAAAACACAGCACUCUGCAAACACGAAAGUGGACGUAUAGGGUGUGACGCCUGCCCGGUGCCGGAAGAUUAAAUGAUGGGGUGCAAGCUCUUGAUUGAAGUCCCGGUAAACGGCGGCCGUAACUAUAACGGUCCUAAGGUAGCGAAAUUCCUUGUCGGGUAAGUUCCGACCUGCACGAAUGGCGUAACGAUGGCCACACUGUCUCCUCCCGAGACUCAGCGAAGUUGAAGUGUUUGUGAUGAUGCAAUCUACCCGCGGCUAGACGGAAAGACCCCAUGAACCUUUACUGUAGCUUUGCAUUGGACUUUGAACCGAUCUGUGUAGGAUAGGUGGGAGGCUAUGAAACCGGAACGCUAGUUUCGGUGGAGCCGUCCUUGAAAUACCACCCUGGUUUGUUUGAGGUUCUAACCUUGGCCCGUGAUCCGGGUCGGGGACAGUGCAUGGUAGGCAGUUUGACUGGGGCGGUCUCCUCCCAAAGCGUAACGGAGGAGUACGAAGGUACGCUAGGUACGGUCGGAAAUCGUGCUGAUAGUGCAAUGGCAUAAGCGUGCUUAACUGCGAGACCGACAAGUCGAGCAGGUGCGAAAGCAGGUCAUAGUGAUCCGGUGGUUCUGUAUGGAAGGGCCAUCGCUCAACGGAUAAAAGGUACUCUGGGGAUAACAGGCUGAUACCGCCCAAGAGUUCAUAUCGACGGCGGUGUUUGGCACCUCGAUGUCGGCUCAUCUCAUCCUGGGGCUGUAGCCGGUCCCAAGGGUAUGGCUGUUCGCCAUUUAAAGAGGUACGUGAGCUGGGUUUAAAACGUCGUGAGACAGUUUGGUCCCUAUCUGCCGUGGGCGUUGGAAGUUUGAAGGGGGCUGCUCCUAGUACGAGAGGACCGGAGUGGACGAACCUCUGGUGUACCGGUUGUGACGCCAGUCGCAUCGCCGGGUAGCUAUGUUCGGAAGAGAUAACCGCUGAAAGCAUCUAAGCGGGAAACUCGCCUUAAGAUGAGACUUCCCCGGGGACUUGAUCCCCUUGA
rnacentral:rRNA from 1 species